rnacentral:rRNA from 1 species
UCGAACGCGAAAGGGGGGGCAACUCCCCAAGUAGAGUGGCGAACGGGUGAGUAAUACAUCGGAACGUGUCCAGUAGCGGGGGAUAACCUCUCGAGAGAGAGGCUAAUACCGCAUACGACCUACGGGUGAAAGCAGGGGAUCGCAAGACCUUGCACUAUUGGAGCGGCCGAUGUCGGAUUAGCUAGUUGGCGGGGUAAAAGCCCACCAAGGCGACGAUCCGUAGCUGGUCUGAGAGGACGACCAGCCACACUGGAACUGAGACACGGUCCAGACUCCUACGGGAGGCAGCAGUGGGGAAUUUUGGACAAUGGGGGCAACCCUGAUCCAGCCAUGCCGCGUGGGUGAAGAAGGCCUUCGGGUUGUAAAGCCCUUUCGGUGGGGACGAAACGGUGCGUGCUAACACCACGCACUACUGACGGUACCCACAGAAGAAGCACCGGCUAACUACGUGCCAGCAGCCGCGGUAAUACGUAGGGUGCAGGCGUUAAUCGGAAUUACUGGGCGUAAAGCGUGCGCAGGCGGUUUGCUAAGACAGGUGUGAAAUCCCCGGGCUUAACCUGGGAACUGCGCUUGUAACUGGCAAGCUGGAGUGUGGCAGAGGGGGGGUGGAAUUCCACGUGUAGCAGUGAAAUGCGUAGAGAUGUGGAGGAACACCGAUGGCGAAGGCAGCCCCCUGGGCUAACACUGACGCUCAUGCACGAAAGCGUGGGGAGCAAACAGGAUUAGAUAUCCUGGUAGUCCACGCCCUA